AGAGUUUGAUCCUGGCUCAGGAUGAACGCUGGCGGCGUGCUUAAUACAUGCAAGUCGAACGGAGAAUUGUAGCAAUAUAGUUCUCAGUGGCGAACGGGUGAGUAACGCGUUGGUGACCUGCCCCGAAGAGUGGGAUAACAGUCCGAAAGGACUGCUAAUACCGCAUGUGGUCAUAGGAAUUGGAAGCCGAUGACAAAAGGAGAAAUCCGCUUCGGGAGGGACCUGCGUCCCAUCAGCUAGUUGGUGAGGUAACGGCUCACCAAGGCGACGACGGGUAAGGGACCUGAGAGGGUGGUCCCUCACAAUGGCACUGAAACACGGGCCAUACACCUACGGGUGGCAGCAGUAGGGAAUAUUGGGCAAUGGGCGCAAGCCUGACCCAGCAACGCCGCGUGCACGAUGAAGGCCUUCGGGUCGUAAAGUGCUUUUCUGGGAGAUGAGAAAGGACAGUAUCCCAGGAAUAAGUCUCGGCUAACUACGUGCCAGCAGCCGCGGUAAAACGUAGGAGACGAGCGUUAUCCGGAUUUACUGGGCGUAAAGCGCGUGCAGGCGGUUCGGUAAGUUGGAUGUGAAAUCUCCCGGCUCAACUGGGAGAGGUCGUUCAAUACUACCGGACUAGAGGGCAUCAGAGGAAGGUGGAAUUCCCGGUGUAGUGGUGAAAUGCGUAGAUAUCGGGAGGAACACCAGUGGCGAAGGCGGCCUUCUGGGAUGCAUCUGACGCUCAGACGCGAAAGCUAGGGGAGCGAACGGGAUUAGAGACCCCGGUAGUCCUAGCCGUAAACAAUGUAGACUUGGUGUCG
rnacentral:rRNA from 1 species